AACCCGUCCCGAUUUAACGUGUCAUAUGUAUACAGUGUGUUAAAUACCCUGAAUCUUUAUACAAUUGUUUAAGGUUUGGACGGCUAUUUUAUAUGUUGAAUGAUUAAAGGCUAAGGAAUGGAUCACACGUCCGAUUCCAUUUCCAUUUCCUUUCCGUGAAGUGCUCCACUCGUGAAGUGCUCCACUGCCUCCCUCAAUAAUACCUUCACUCAUCGUCAUUCCCUCACACGAACCUGAAACUCUCUCUCUCUAUCCCUCGACAGUCUCUCUCUCUCUCUCUAACUCUCCCUCUCGAACCGUAAGCAACACACACACAAAAACUCAAUCAAACUUGCACGAACGUUGGAUCUAAGACCACCAUCGUGAUCCUGAGAACUUCACGAACACGGGGAUACCAAAUUCAGGCUAAACAAAGAUCACAGUGAGUCUUAGAAGGUCCCAAGGAUGCUCGGAGUGUAACGUUGGGAAGUUUUUGACGUAAGAACACGGAGAUCGACAAGUUCAAAGUUUGACCGGAGCUUUCGAGGCUUUUUCCAGUGAAUACCCGGCGAGUUAAGGGUCGAGGUAGGUAUGAAUGUGUUCGUCUCGUCAAUAUCUUCAUUUUGAUAUAAAGUACGUUGAAAAUGGUGAAGAAAUGAAGAAGUUAUGACGUUUUGAAAAAUACCCAAUUUCCGGCGAACCAGUCCGACGAGACUAGGAAGAAGACGCGCGUGGGGGCGCGUAGGUCCGACCUUCCUCUGGCGCAUGGGGGCGCGUUCGUGGCCCAAAAAUUAUUCUAAAAAUUUCUACGUGUUCAUGACGUCGUGUAGAUCACCGUGGUGAAAAUUAUACGGACGAAGAACGUAACCAAAAUAGGCGAGGGGGUUACGAACCGGCUACUUAUCAGUGAGUGGGCAGUUAUUUUUCAGUAUAUAUAUAAGUAUACUUGACGUGUUUCCUAGAAAACGUAUUUUAAAUAUAAAUACGAA